GACACAUUUCUUCUUACUGGUGGAAACUUUCUGCACAGUCCUGAGGCAGCACAGGGCAACACACGGACUUCUGGUUGCUGCUGCUAUUUCAAACACUGUCAAGGACCUCCAUUAUAAUCAGCCACCUCCUGCUGAGGACUUCUCCCCUCAAACCAGCACUCAAUUCAUCCAGACAAGACUUUUAGCUGAGACAUCUGUGGUCUACAAUGGAAUGAAACCAGAAUCAACAAUCUGGUUAAACUGCACAGCCUGUCUCAUUUAUAUAUGGUUAUUUUGGUGCACAUUUGAGCUUUCUUUGAUUUGCAAAGUGAAAAUGCCAACUUUUUGAUUAUUAAUAUAUUUCAAUUAUUUUAUAAUAAGAAGAAAUUAUGUAUGUGCUAUUUAUGGGCUAAUAAAAAUCUCAGCUGAGGUGAAAAGAUGAGCAACUGGACAGAUUAAACUGAAACUUUCUUUUUAAAAAGUUUAAUUGUAUGUAUUUAAGAUGUACAACAUGAUAUACAUCGAGAUAAUAAAAUGGUUACUGCA
rnacentral:lncRNA from 10 species